rnacentral:lncRNA from 1 species
GACUUGCUGAACAACCCAGAUGCUGUAGCAACUGACGCAGUGAUCUCAUUCAAGACAGCGAUCUGGUUCUGGAUGACGGCACAAUCACCGAAGCCUUCAUGCCACGACGUCAUCACCGGAAGAUGGAGUCCAUCAAGUGCUGAUCAGGCAGCAGGGAGGGUUUCCGGGUACGGCACUGUCACCAACAUCAUCAACGGUGGACUUGAAUGCGGGAAAGGGCAGGAUAGCAGGGUGCAGGAUCGCAUAGGGUUUUAUAAGAGAUACUGUGACUUGCUUGGAGUUGGGUAUGGCAAUAACCUUGACUGUGCUUCUCAGAGACCAUUUGGCUCUAAUUCACAGCUCCUUCUCGACACCAUCUAGUUACUUUUUGUUUUAAUAAAUAAAUAACCUGAACAUCACCAGUGCGGGUUCAUUGGG